rnacentral:lncRNA from 1 species
CUAACUCCUUUUUUUCUUGUAACCCGUUAAUCUAAACAUUAAUUCAUCAUUUAAUUUCGGGAAUUUGUAUGAAAAUUGGGCAAAAGUUCUUUGGUCAAGAAUUUGAGUUUUGAUUGGGGAUUUGACAUUGGAUUGAAAUAAUUUUUAUAUGGUUAGACUCGUGAGGGUGUGAGGAUUCUGGAAAUGUGGAUUUUAUCUGGUUCCAAGACGUGGGCCCGAGGGGCGUUUUGGUCAUUUUACAUAGUUUCACGUAUUAGCUUAGAAUUUAAUUGUAGAAUCAGUUACUUGAAGUGUUAUUUACAUUAUGAAAUUGAAUUGAAUAGAUUUGGGCCAUUUGGAGUUGAGUACUCGUGGCAAGAGCGUGGUUUCAGAUUGCUUUUGAGCCGGUUCGAGGUAAGUGGCUUUCUAACCUUGUGUGGGGGACCUUCCCCUUAGGAUAUAAUAUAUUUGAUAAUUGAAAUGCCUUGUACGUGAGGUGACGAGCGCAUACUUGAACUAAUUGUUGAAAAUCUGGUUUUUCCUUAAGUAUUUCAAAUUAAGUUCUUUUUCCUGUUUUAUUCUACUUGUGAAUUUAGCCUGUUGCUAGUUUAGAAAAGCAUGUUUAGCUGACUUAAUUGCCUAUUUGCUUAAACUGCCUUAAUUGCAUUACGUGAAGCAUAUUAGGAUAGAAUUAACUGUUUACUUGGUACGAAAUUUAGCUUAAUUGGGUAUUCGUGUGUUGCUGCUGUGUGUUUUUACUUUGGGACUACAGGACGACAUCCCGGGAGAUCCCCGUACGUAUUUAUGAUCCGAACUGAGGUGCAGGAUACCAAGAGAUUUCUGGCACGUAUAUUGAGGAUACCAAGAGAUCCUCGAAAUACCAAGAGAUCCCUAGCAUAUAUUGAGGAUACCAAGAGAUCCUCGGGAUACCGAGAGAUCCCUAGCAUUUAUUGAGGAUACCAAGAGAUCCCUAGCAUAUAUUGAGGAUAACCAAGAGAUCCUCGGGAUACCAAGAUAUCCCCGGUUAUCAUCCUUGUUAUGAGUGGUACUUCCUUGUUGUUUGCCUUCAUCUCUGUUUCCGUUAUUGUACUCUUAUUAUCCUGUAU